AACGUUUACACGCCAUGGGAAAGAUCCAAAAGGAAGGAAGAUGGGAAGGAAGUUAAGGUCCUAAUAGUGCUGUCUUGAAGGAAGAUACGUUGGAUACUUUAAUGUCAGAUUACAAUACAAUAAGGAGACUACAAUAUCAACAGUGAACAAAUAUUCUAAAAUAAAUAAAGCUAAUUACUAUAAAAACAAAUAUCUUAUUCACUUUAACAACUGACAAAAUUUGCUUCAGGAAAAUCAUAAGAACAAUGGAGGAUUCAUGUUUCUCAUAUCAUGAUGCUACAAACCAGAAGACACGAAUGGGUGAAGACAGCUCAAUUCAGACCAUUAUCAUGGAAUUCAUUAUAAUCAAUGCCACUAUAUCCAUUAAAUUACCACAGACUUCUUUAAAGAAAACCUUUAGAAUUCUUACAUCGCUUAACUAAUUGAUGUAUCAACUAAUUGAUCAUGUAAGCAAAUUCAUUUAACUUAUUGCUGUAGAUUGUGAUUCCAAGAGUAGAAGGGAAUUGUCAAAAUCGUAUCAGUCUCCUAAAUCGUACCUCAUCAUUUCUUUAUUAUUAUUGAAUAUGGACUAAAUUUAACAGUGUGUAAAAAUGAAAUAUAAAUAAGUAGCGAGAAAUACAAACAAAAAAUUUACAGAUAUCUUGUUUUGUGAGUGGUACAAACAUUUUUAAAAAAUCAAGCAUGAUUGAUUAUCAGAUAUGAUUUAGGAAUUUGGUUUAGGUACAAUUUCGGCAACUAUCCCCUAUAUUCUUGAGAUAACGUUGGUAAUCGGAUUUCUAUAAUAGAUGUAGCAAGCUUUAGCCUUACACUCUAAGUCCAAAACUAUGACAUAAUUUCCGAUUAAAAAUAUUUUCCACAGCUAUCUGAGAAUUUACUUUGAUUUAUAUCAUUUCUACAGAAAGACUUAUACUAAGAGAUGAAAAAAAUUGCAUAAAUACCAGCAGAGUACGAUGUCUAAUCUUAAUGUACGGCAAAAAAUGUUUUUCAUUGUUACUUGAGAUCAUAAUCCCUAAGCUUUAAGAGAAUUAGGCAAAUUCUAACUAUUAAAGCAGCGCAGGCAACGCUUUUGCCUGAAAUUAUACAUCUUAGAGCAUAAGGCUGUUACACCUAUUUUGGGCAUGAGCUUAUAGUUCUAUACAUCAUAAUAAUGAUAAUAUUCAAUAAAAUUAUUAAAAAGGAUUGUGCUCGGUGCAAAUAGAAGUUGCGAUGAAUUUAUAGGAUACGUAAUGUAUGAAUAGCAACUUUAGAAUUGAAUGACCCAGCCACAUUAUUUGCUUAUAUAUUUCGCAAAAGUGUGCGUCGUAAUGGUCGUUCACUCGUAACAGUUAGAUUAGGUGAAAGUUUGAGAGUUCACUUUGAUCUGCAACGCUUCCAUAAAAAAACGUAUGCCAAGAGAUGAAAAAUUAUGUAAAUGCCAGCCAUGAGUGCAAUGUCAGCCCAAAAGCUGCUUUCGUCGAAGUCGUAGCGAUCCAAUACUUGAGAGCCUUCGGUGAGGCAAGGUAGUUCCGGCUCGGUGACUUCACAGGCUGUUGGUAGAAGACAGAAAUACGCAUUACACAUUACUCGUGAGAAAAAUGCACGAAUGCCGCUUGAUGUGAUAAGUUAACGCACAUAUAUUAUGCACGCCUCUCCAUUGGAUGAUAGUGAGAGCUUCUGUCGAAUGCAGCAGCCAGGAGAAAUAUCUCAACCAUCGAACGUAUACAGGCAGCGAACUACGAACGGACACCGAGUAUGGAUUUGUACAGUGAUAAAAUUUUUCUGGAUAUUGUUCAAUCAUAUCGGCAAAUACCUGAGCUUGAUAAAAGGCCCCAUGGUUAUCAUGAGAAUAUAAUCGAAAGGCACCAAGUAUGCCAUCGCUAGUGGUACACUCUCGUAAACGGCUGAGAAGAAACAUCCUGCAGCAUUAAGUUUUAUUAUAUAUAGUCACAAGUCAAGCCAAGAGCAUCUAUCGUUGGACGCAAUCCUGUUAGCCAAUAUAUUAUCACGGUGAACAGCACUGGUUCAACUAACAGACCGGGUAUCUGAUAAUGUCGAUUUUCACGAGAUAAUGCGAAGAAAAUAAUCGACAUGGAGUAACACUUAAUAAAGAGGAAUUUAACUCACUAAAGAUAUCAUUCGUGCUACGUAAUAAAGAUGAAUGGGGUACAUGCCCGCUCUGUAUUCGCGAAGUAGAAGCGGCAAUUCUUGUGGAAUCAACGCCAAGGUCGCGUACAUGGGGAAGAAGGUGUUCUCGCACACCAAGAUAUAGAUGACACCCUCUAUGGCUUGAAUGCCCAAUUGAUCAAGGUUAACAGCGCCUACGAAGCACAAGCCGGCGACCAUUGCGACGCUCUGCGAUUCGUGAGAUUUGUUAUUUUACGCGAAAUUAAAAUUAGUCGAUUUACGGGAAACGCGCUGAACAUUCUAACGAUACUCACCACUUUUUGCAAGAUCCUAAUAAAUUGUACUGAAGGAUCGCGCAGGACUUGUAGGAAUCCGCGGUGGAUCAACCAGUACAACUGCAACCAGCAGCACGGUCCUUCGCUGAAGUCGAUUAAACGUCACGAUUAACGAACAUCGAUUCGUCUCUUUGACAUAUCAUGCCGUUUUUAACUCUCGACCUUUGUGCUCCGACUUACUUUCAACAAAUGUUGCAAAGGAUACUUACAAGACACGUAAUUUGCGUACAGUUUCCUUCGUCUAAAACGAGAAGGUAAAUUCCCGCGUUUAAUGGAUUCUUUUUUUAUUAUACUAAUUGUACCUUUGUUUCAUUCUGAUUUCACUUACAACGGGCUGUGAUCGAGCGAUAUCGAGCUCCCGUUGCAGCAUAACAUCGAUUUCAUUGCACGCUUCGCUCGUGAGAAACGCGUCGCAGAUCUUCUGGGCGGCUCUUCCGCUGCCGUCCGCGUCACCGGGUGCGAUCGCCAGAGUCGCCACCAGGAAAUCAGCCGGGUUGUAGUUGCGUGGGCACACGUAACCCUGACUAAAAAUAUUGCAAGGAUUAUAAGCAGUCGCAAAGAAGGGUCUGAAAUUGUUUCAGUCCAUAAAACUGUCUGUUUCGCCUCCGAAACGAUGAAGCGAUGAAGAUGUACCUGGUGAAAAAUCGUAUCGCUUGCGCGCCGGUACCAGCAAACGCUACUCUGCCACCAGCCAAAAGGAUUAUACGAUGGAAACUGUUGAAGAUGGUGGAGCUGGGUUGAUGUAUGGUGCACAGGAUCGUCCGGCCUCUCGACACGAAGGACGUCAUGUGCGACACGAGGACACUGGCCGAGUGCGCGUCUUGGCCCGUCGUCGGCUCGUCCAGAAACAGUAUCUCCGGAUCUGUCAGCAGCUGAGAAGAUGGACGGCCGGAAAUAGAAUGACAAGCGAGUAAGAGAAAUUCAACGCAAGUGCACACAGAGAGACGUACUUCAGUGGCGAAGGCGAGUCUCUUCUUUUCGCCGCCUGACAAAACCUUGCCGUCGUCGCCGCCACCGAUGCGAAUGUCGCGUCUUUCCAUCAGACCAACGUCCCUCAACAGGUGAUCGAUCCUCAGUCGAACGUCCGACGUGUGGAUUCUCCCGUCCAAUUUCAUUCUAGCCUAGGAAAGUCCUCGCAUUAAUCGCGUAAUCACGCGAUCGUUCGAUGAGCGCGACGAAUUUACCAUAAACCAGAUGUGCUCCAGCACCGUCAUCGUCUCGAUGAACAUGUCCUCCUGAUGCAUGAAACCGCUAUGACAUCUCAUGUACGACGACGUAGUCGAGACUCCGUUCACAUAAACGUCACCGUGCACCACGACGCCAGCUGUCAAUUUUAGUAAAGAAAACCACUACAAAGGACAAGACUCUGAAAGAUUCUAAUAAUAUGAGUAAAAGGCAAGAAAGAGCCGAAACUCUGGCUUUUACUUGCUUUUUAUUUAUAUUAUUAGAUUAAGAGAGAAGCUAGCUUCCUUAUUUUUUUCAAAGUUACGAUCAUUACGUAAAUCAUACUUACGUCCAGUGCGAGAUGCCAGUGCUAUCAUCAGCGAACUUUUCCCGGCACCGCUGUGUCACGGAGUUGACGACGAUAUAUAGGCAAAGUAUUUCCACGACGCGGAGCGAUUACAUGGAUACCGAUCGUUUCGACGACGAGACGAUAAGACGGUGAAGUCCGACGGAACAGUCGACGGUGCGACUCGAACCUUGGGCGGAAGCCUUACGCACACGUGUCCGAAGGGUGAGAAACUGACGAGACACGAAAGGGAGAUCAGCGCUAAGGCGAGAGGUGUUCGCUUCAUAACGGCGCGCUGCCACCACUCGAUUCACCCGAUGCACUUCGUCCGCGUUCCUCCCGUGCUUUCCUCCGCUAUCAAAUAUCACACAAUCUGUAUCUCGCAGCUUGCUUUCCAGCAAGGAAACGCAAAUAGACAAUAUCGAACACUGGAAUGCUGUACAAAGCUGCUUUGUUGAUACACCACUUGGUUCUCAAUAUAUGUCGCAGUUCGCACUUCAUAGUUAAAUAUGGUAGAUCAGAUCUGCUUCUCGUUGAUUCUGUCUUCGUUUGCAAGACAACGAUCGAGUUACUUCGAACGACAAGUUUUUGACAGUAACGCGAGAAACGCCAGGAGACGGAAUACUGCGAUGAGCGAGAACAGGCAAAGGAUAUCCGUCCAAAAGUCCUCCUCCUUAAAAUUGAAAGUCUGCAGGACCAUGCGUCCGGAUCUCGGACACGUUAUGUUGCUUCUGGUGCACUCGAUGGAGUCGAUUUCAGCCCAUUGAUUAAUCAAGAGUGCCUCGUUGCCGUAACGAAACCAGGAUAGAUACUCACGCUGUAUUCAGGAAGAAACCACCGAAGAGCAUGAAUGGUAUUAUCACCGGAGGACCGACGGAAAGGGCCAUAGAUACUCCAUUACUAAUGCACGAUAUUAAAUAACCUGUGAGAGAGAGAAAUGCAUUUCGAUCAUUGGAGAUAAUGCAACGCGAGCUGUCUGUGAAUCUCAAUGUUACCAAACGAAGUCGAGACGUUCGCCACGAGAGCUACUACACCAGCAGCAAUAAAGAAGUGUUUCACGUCAGGGUAGAGGCCGAUCAUGGGGUACGCGACGACGGUGAAGAUCAACGGCACUGCGAGAAAUAUCGGUGCUUCCGCUAGUGUCUUGCAGAUGAAGUAGACGUCGGUGCGGUACAUCCCGUUUCUGUGCUCGCGGAGAAAUAUCGGCAAUUCGGCACAGAAUACCUAUGUACAGAAUAUAUUCGUAUAUUGGUCCAUUAAGUUACUCGCGCGCAUACUUUCGGUAAUUCUUAGAAUUGAAAUUGUGAACUCGAUUCGACUUAUAAUUCUAGCUGCCGCAAACUAUUGUUCUCCCUUUGUUUUCGUAAGGGUUUCCCCUUGUUUGCCGUAAGAGGGAAAGACACACGGAUGAGUGCAGUUUAGACAGCUUCAAUUUGCAUACGAUACUCUCCCAAUUUGCAUACGAUACUUCUUUCUCUCUCCUCACGUUAAUAACCGCGAAGACGUUCUGGAAAGUCAUGUUGGUGAGGAAGAUGAAUAGGGCACCGUUGAUAUUCAUCACGCCGUCCUGGUCCAUUCGUUGGCCGAAGUAGAUGACGCCGAUCAGCAGCGAAACCAUCUGCGACAUAAAUUACGAAGAUUGUCUCCCUUCGCACACCUUCGCGAGAUCACGUGUGCGAUUAUCGAAGGGGGAAACGCACGAUAGUCUGUAAGAGGCGAACUUUGAUGAGAAUCGGUUCCUUGAUCAUCGACAGCCAAGAUCGCCACAGAACCGCGCGGAAUUGCUCGCACCAGGUUGCUUUGUAAGGCGAUCCGCUGGACUGUGAGAGUUUCAGCCUCUUGAGAGAAUCCUCGAAGUCGCUGUGGACAGUUUCUGCCACUGAGGCAAUUUUCAGGCCGUAAUCACUUUUUUGGAAAUUGUCGCACGUCGUUUUUAUUGCGUGUCUGCAAGCCAAUUCGCGUCCCGGUACAAUUGCCAACAUUUGCACGAAAUAGUCGGCGGGAUUGUAGUUAUUGGGACAAGCGGCGCCGAGCCUGCGAAAGAGAUAGCCAAGUGGCAACGAUAAAAAUUGCUAUCUGACAAGAUAGUUAAACAAAAAGCUACGCUUAUAAAUUGUGACGUUUUACCUUUCCUUUCCAGCGCAUAAUUUUCAGAUAUAAGGAUCAAUGAAACUUCUUAAAAGUGAAUUUUUCGAGUUUGAACUUACGUCUCGAAGAAGGAACAAGCUUGCACGGCGGUACCCAUGAAGGCGACUCUCCCCUCGGCCAUCAGCAGGAUCUUGUCGAAAAGAGCGAAGAGCUCUGACGAAGGUUGAUGUAGGGUGGCGAUGAUCGUUUUACCACGUGCUGUUGGAAUCGUUCGAUUAUUUAUUUGCGAUUGUGUAUGUUUCACAUCUGUGUCGGUGAUUUCAGUAAGGCUUCCGUGCCAUACCGACGACUCACCUGCCAACGCCUUCAAGAUAGAAACAACCUGAUGAGCCAUGAAGGAGUCCAAGCCCGACGUCGGCUCGUCGCAGAGCAUCAGCGGAGGAUCCGUCAGCACCUCGGAGGCGAAGGACAAUCUCUUCAUCUCUCCUCCCGAGAGACCUUUCACCUUGCCGGGCACACCGAUUAUAGUGUUGCGACACUUCGAUAGGGCUAACUGUUCUCGAGAGAGAUAGAGGAUGAAGUGAGGGAUGGUAGUAUUCGGCGAUCCAUCCGCACCAUUGCCUGAAACGUCAAGUGUUCCACCACGGUGAGUGUGCCGAUGAACAAGUCGUCCUGCUGCACGUAAGCCAUCGUCGAAGUGAGCAUAUCCGGCGAUACUCUUUGGCCGUUAGCGGCCAUCAGACCGGAUGCAGAUACUCCGCGAGUUGAACGAAAUGUCAGCGUGUUCAGCAAGGUCGUUUUGCCAGCACCUGACGCACCCAUGAUCACGAGCAGCUCGCCAGGAUAAGCGACCCCGCACACUGAAACGUAUUUUCACCGAAGAAACCAGCUAGGACGUCUGCGUUGUGGAUAUCAGCGGCUCUGUUUCCUCGGCAGCCGUCAUUGUACUCGACGUCGUUUUGCGGGGCCCUUCCUCCGGUCCAGUAGUCCUCGCUAGCAUCCAACGGAUGCUUUCACGGCUGACCAAAGCGAGACAGGUCGUUCUCGCCAAUUUCUGAUCUAACAGCACAUGUGCGGAACGUGUUUUUCCUCUUGGUAUUCGCCGACUCCCUCUGCAUUCGACCGCAAUUUGACACAAGUGUACACAAGGAUUUCGAAAGUGAUUUUAUUUACAACAGACACUGACCGAUACAGACCUACGUAUGUAUUGUACAAAAUUAUAUAUUUCGAUAUCCUUACAAAAAAA